UUCCGGUUGAUCCCGCCGGACCCGACUGCUAUUUGGGUGAGAAUAAGCCAUGCGAGUUGAAUGGGAUACCUAAAGUUCCCAUAGCAAACUGCUCAGUAACACAUGAUCAACUUACCCUAUAGAGAAAAAUAACCUCGGGAAACUGAGGAUAAUGUUUCAUAAUUGAAUUGGCUUGGAAAAGUUUUUCAAUGAAAGGGAUAAAAUAAAUGGUUUUUAUCUGCUAUAGGAUAGGAUCGUGUUCGAUUAUGGUUGUUGGUGAGAUAAUGGCUCACCAAGCCGAUAAUCGAUAGGGGCCGUGAGAGCGGGAGCCCCGAGAUGGGUACUGAGACAACGACCCAGGCCUUACGAGGCGCAGCAGGCGCGGAACCUCCGCAAUACACGAAAGUGUGACGGGGUUACCCAAAGUGUUCAAUAGAACUGUGAUAGGUGAGUAAUGUCCCCUACUAGAAAGGAGAGGGCAAGGCUGGUGCCAGCCGCCGCGGUAAAACCAGCUCUUCAAGUGGUCGGGAUAAUUAUUGGGCUUAAAGUGUCCGUAGCCGGUUUAGUAAGUUCCUGGUAAAAUCGGGUAGCUUAACUAUCUGCAUGCUAGGAAUACUGCUAUACUAGAGGGCGGGAGAGGUCUGAGGUACUACAGGGGUAGGGGUGAAAUCUUAUAAUCCUUGUAGGACCACCAGUGGCGAAGGCGUCAGACUGGAACGCGCCUGACGGUGAGGGACGAAAGCCAGGGGAGCGAACCGGAUUAGAUACCCGGGUAGUCCUGGCCGUAAACGAUGCAUACUAGGUGAUGGUACGGCCAUGAGCCGUAUCAGUGCCGUAGGGAAACCGUUAAGUGUGCCGCCUGGGAAGUACGGUCGCAAGGCUAAAACUUAAAGGAGUUGGCGGGGGAGCACCACAAGGGGUGAAGCCUGCGGUUCAAUUGGAGUCAACGCCGG
rnacentral:rRNA from 1 species